CCGCUGCAAAACCCGGGGCGCGAGCCCGGGCGGAGCGGCCGUCGGUGCAGAUCUUGGUGGUAGUAGCAAAUAUUCAAAUGAGAACUUUGAAGGCCGAAGAGGAGAAAGGUUCCAUGUGAACGGCACUUGCACAGUGGUAAGCCGAUCCUAAGGGACGGGGUAACCCCGGCAGAUAGCGCGAUCACGCGCAUCCCCCGAAAGGGAAUCGGGUUAAGAUUUCCCGAGCCGGGAUGUGGCGGUUG
rnacentral:ncRNA from 1 species